rnacentral:rRNA from 1 species
GCCUAACACAUGCAAGUCGAACGGGAGUCUCGUUUUCGGAUGAGAUGAGAGUGGCGAACGGGUGAGUAACACGUAACUGACCUGCCUCAGAGAGCGGGAUAACGCGCCGAAAGGUGUGCUAAGACCGCAUAAGCUCACGGUGAUUAGAAGGCUGUGAGAAAAGCUACGGUGCUCUGAGAUGGGGUUGCGGCCCAUCAGCUAGUUGGUAGGGUAGAAGCCUACCAAGGCGACGACGGGUAGGGGGCCUGAGAGGGUGACCCCCCACACUGGGACUGAGACACGGCCCAGACUCCUACGGGAGGCAGCAGUGAGGAAUAUUGCGCAAUGGGCGAAAGCCUGACGCAGCGACGCCGCGUGGGUGAAGAAGGUUUUCGGAUCGUAAAGCCCUUUUCUUGGUGACGAGGAAGGACGGUAACCGAGGAAUAAGUGUCGGCUAACUACGUGCCAGCAGCCGCGGUAAAACGUAGGACGCAAACGUUAUCCGGAAUUACUGGGCGUAAAGCGCGCGCAGGUGGGCGAGCAAGUCAUGCGUGAAAGCUCCUGGCUAAACUGGGAGAGGUCGGAUGAUACUGCUGGUCUAGAGGGUGUUAGAGGCGUGUGGAAUUCCGCGUGUAGUGGUGAAAUGCGUAGAGAUGCGGAGGAACACCAGUGGCGAAGGCGGCACGCUGGGACACACCUGACACUGAGGCGCGAAAGCAUGGGUAGCGAACGGGAUUAGAAACCCCGGUAGUCCAUGCCGUAAACGAUGUGUACUAAACGUUUGUCUGGCGAUAGCUGGAUGAGUGUUGAAGCAAACGCGAUAAGUACACCGCCCUGGGGAGUACGGUCACAAGGCUAAAACUCAAAGGAAUUGACGGGGGCCCGCACAAGCAGCGGAGCGUGUGGUUUAAUUCGAGGCUACGCGAAGAACCCUACCUGGGUUUGACAUGAUGUUGAGCGAAAGCGAAAGCUGGAGGUCUCUUCGGAGCGGCAUCACAGGUGCUGCAUGGCUGUCGUCAGCUCGUGUCGUGAGAUGUUCGGUUAAGUCCGAAAACGAGCGCAACCCCUAGGUUUAGUUACAAGUGUCUAAACCGACUGCCUGCGGCAAGCAGGAGGAAGGUGGGGAUGACGUCAAGUCAGCAUGGCCUUUAUAUCCAGGGCGACACACACGCUACAAUGGCGCGUACAAUAGGUAGCCAAACCGCGAGGUGGAGCCAAUCCAGAAAAGCGCGUCGUAGUUCGGAUUGCAGGCUGCAACUCGCCUGCAUGAAGUCGGAGUUGCUAGUAACCGCAGGUCAGCACACUGCGGUGAAUACGUUCCCGGGCCUUGUACACACCGCCCGUCACGUCAUGGGAGCUGGUCACGCCCGAAGUCGGGAAGCUAACCGCAAGGGGGCUACUGCCGAAGGCAGGGCUGGUAACUGGGACGAAGUCGUAACAAGGUAGCUGUAGCGGAAGCUGCGGCUGGAUCACCUCCUU